AUGAAACACUCCUACGGGAGGCAGCAGUGAGGAAUAUUGGUCAAUGGUCGGAAGACUGAACCAGCCAUGCCGCGUGCAGGAAGAAUGCCUUAUGGGUUGUAAACUGCUUUUAUAUGGGAAGAAUAAGGCGUACGUGUACGUUGAUGACGGUACCAUAUGAAUAAGCAUCGGCUAACUCCGUGCCAGCAGCCGCGGUAAUACGGAGGAUGCGAGCGUUAUUCGGAAUCAUUGGGUUUAAAGGGUCUGUAGGCGGGCUAUUAAGUCAGGGGUGAAAGGUUUCAGCUUAACUGAGAAAUUGCCUUUGAUACUGGUAGUCUUGAAUAUCUGUGAAGUUCUUGGAAUGUGUAGUGUAGCGGUGAAAUGCUUAGAUAUUACACAGAACACCGAUUGCGGAGGCAGGGGACUAACAGACGAUUGACGCUGAGAGACGAAAGCGUGGGGAGCGAACAGGAUUAGAAACCCUUGUAGUCCGAAGUUC
rnacentral:rRNA from 1 species